UACGUAGGGUGCAAGCGUUGUCCGGAAUUACUGGGCGUAAAGCGUGCGUAGGCGGCUACCUAAGUCGGGUGUGAAAGCCCCCGGCUCAACCGGGGAACUGCGGGGCAUACUGCUGGUCUUGAGGCAAGUAAGGGUUGCGAGAACUGUAGGUGGAGCGGUGAAAUGCGUAGAUAUCUGCAGGAAUGCCAAUGGUGAAGACGCGCAACUGGGCUUGUCCUGACGCUGAGGCACGAAAGCGUGGGGAGCAAACAGG
rnacentral:rRNA from 1 species